ensembl:lncRNA SCUBE3-AS1 SCUBE3 antisense RNA 1
GAGAUGAAGUCUCGGUCUGUCACCCAGGCUGGAGUACAGUAGUGGUGUGAUCUCGGCUCACUGCAACCUCUGCCUCCCAGGUUCAAGCUAUUCUUCUGCCUCAGCCUCCUGAGUAUCUGGGAUUACAGGCAUGUGCCACCACACUUGGCUAAUUUUUGUAUUAUUAAUAGAGACAUGGUUUUGCCACAUUGGCCAGGCUGGUCUCGAACUCCUGACCUCAAGUGAUCUGCCCGCCUUAGCCUCCCAAAGUGCUGGGAUUACAGGCGCGAGCCACUACACCUGGCCACAGAUUUUUUAGACCCCUCCUACAGCCAGACUUCUCCCACCAUCUAACUAACCCCUCUCCCUUACCUCCCUGCUCACAAUGCUUAUCCCUCUCCAGCAAAGAGUCUCUGCUCUGGAAGACAUUAUCUCUUCCUGUUCCCUCUACAAUACCUAACCAUCCUAUUCCUUUCUAUGCAUUUGCGUAUUUUCGUUAUUCACAUUGCAGAUGCAUUCCUCAUUUUUCUCUUCCAGCCACACUAUGCUCAGCUUUCCAUUCCAGCUCAAAUUUUUCUUCCCAAAAGCUCUUCCUUGUAAGCCCCGUUCCUGGUGAGUUCCUGGUCCAAGGGGACUGUUCUCCUCAGUUCAUUUACAGCCGUCACUGAAUUGCUCUGCUAAUACUUUAAAGCGUGUUCAGCUUUCCUCACCUGGCUGGGUACCUGCUGAGGAAGAUGUCCCUUCAAUGUUUGGUUGGAGUCUUUUGAAGCAGAACAGACCUAAGACAAAGCUGUGAAAGAGGGCCCCAAAUUAUACCCAGUAUCUCCUCCUUUUACCACUCAUUCUUCCAGAGUUCUCUCCUACCAUAUGUGCCCACCCAGAAUUUGUCCUUGCAAGGACCCUUCAACGCUCACAGCACAGUCUCAUCUUAGCCUGUUCUCUCAGGAUGCAGGUGCUUACUAGCUGGAAAACCAGUUGAUGCUACUGGGUGUGGACUGGUUUAAACCAGCGGUUCUCAACCCUGGGGCUACACACUGGAAUUCCCUGGGGGUUUUGAAAAAAAUGUGAAUGUACAGAUGUCCCCUAGACCAGCUGAAUCAGGAUCUCCAGGGUGAGGCUGUGGCUACUAUCUGUCUUCCUUUCCCAAGGUAAUGCCAAUAAACUAUUUGCCCAAGCUGGGAAGAGACCAGGGCAGCCACAUGACAGAGUAGUUAAGAGAGAGGUUCUGGAGCAACAUUGUCAGUUCAAUUGCUAGCUCUACCUGUGUCUGUGUGGUCCUGGGCCAGCCUCUGAACUUACCUGUUCCCUCCUCUGUAUGUGGGAAUAAUAUUCAUCAUAGUACCUCCCCAUGGGGCUUCCAGGAACAUCAGUUGAAUUAAUACCCAUCAAGUACUUAACACCACAGUGUGGGCAUAUAGAAAGUGCUCAACAAAGGUUUGCUAUUUUUUUCUUUCUUUUUGAAACAGAGACAGGGUCUUGCUCUGCUUAUCCAGGCAGGAAUGCAAUGGCAUGAACAUAGCUCACUGCAACCUCGAAAUCCUGGGCUCAAGUGAUCCUCCCACCUCAGCCUACUGAGUAACUGGGACUAUAUGCGCGUGGCAUCAUGCUCAGCCAAUUUUUUAAAAUUUUUAGAGGCAGGGUCUUGCUAUGUUGCCCAAGCUGGUCUCGAACUCCUGGAUUUGAACGACCCUCUCAUGUCAGCCUCCCAAAGUGCUGGUAUUACAGGUGUGAGUCGCCAUGCCUAGCCAAGGUUUGCUACUAUUAUUCCUUCUCUCCAACCUUCUCCCUGUAUUCUUUCUGAACUCCCUUUCCCUAUCAAAGCCCCAUUUCAGGCCUGGUGUGGGGAAAUGCAGCACCAGGUGAGCAUGUGUUGGUGGGGAGGAUUUGGGGAGACACAUCCCCACUGCUUACUCUACCUGUGCUGGGAACUGCACAAAGAAUGGGGGUGAAGUGGGUGAGAGGCCAGUUGGGAACCCAAAAGCUGUCCUCUACAAUUCUUUUUGAAGGCUAGGGAGAUCCCACUCCUACUUCAGGCCAUGCAUUGGAACCAAAGUUGAGGUGGGGGAGAGUGGUGGCUGCACAGAUACCAUAGACAAGCCAAGACCUCCCUGCCUCGCCCUGUCCUGGCAUGAAGGCACAGGUCUGUAACUACAGCAGCUUUUCCCAGUACCAUCUGACAUUUCUUCUGAAUUUGCUUUAGCGCCUAGCAGAGCACUCCAUAAACUCUCCUAAAGUAGGUAGGAAGGGUAGGAUGGGGUAUGGGAUAUGAGGGUCAGAGGGUCAGACCAGAAAGGGUGGAUUAUUAUAAAACAAGUAGUCCUAAGAUUCUGAGGAUGGGCAGGUGUACCCUAAAAGGGAAGCAGUGGGAUUCCCAAGUAAAUACUUCAUCUACUUCACAAGUUUGCCCAAGCCCAGCUCAGGAACAGUAACAAAUGGAAAUGAGCAGGGAUGCCGGCUGUGGACAAGCAGACCCCCUAGGUAGAGUCCACCCCACCUUCCCAUUACCACAGGAAUUAUUACCUUACCACCCAUAGGGGAGGGGGUAAUUGUGGGCAAAUUUGAUGGGCCCAGUGGGACAGUCAGAAACAGCCUGCCUAGAGCCCUAAUGUACCCACCCACAUAGCUGUGACAUCCUCAGCCCAGCCAGGCUAGCCCAGGAUAUAUGGUGUGUGUAGCGCACUCUGCUAUUUUCCUCUCCUUGAAUGUCCUUGAGGACCCAGUUCAGGUGCCUCUGCUGGGACACUCCCUGUGACACUACCAGCCUUCUCUGAUCUACUCUUUCUCUUGACUCCUAAGACUUACUGUCAGGCUCUCUGGUCACCUGAUCAAUCCCAGGCUUGUGAUACCUCAUAUGCUACCUUGUACCAUUAUUUAACUUUUAGUUCAUGUGUAUAAUUUUCCUACUGAAGCAGUAGGAGCUUGAGGCCAUGGCUCCUAAAGCUUUGAAACCCAUGCAGCAACUGAAAUAGAGCUCAGCAUUCAUUCAUUCACUCACUCACUCAAUAGUUAUUGAGCACCUCCAACAUGCGAAGCACCGUGCUAGGUGCUGGGGAUUUGGCAGUGAACCAGAGAUGAAUUCUACAUUGAAGCCACUUAGUAAAUAUUUGUUAAACAGAUAGACGAGUGGAUGGAGACAUGGAUGCAUUAGUAGUGAGUGGAUAAUGUCUCUAUCUGUGGCAUCCCUUCUGCUCUAUGUUACCUCAGAGAAAAAUCUCACUUCUUUACUCUCCGUGAUCCCACAACUGUUCUGGAUGGGGGAAGUCCCAGGAAGUUUAGUCUCAAGUGGAGAGUAGGGAGAGAGGAAACUAAAUUCAGAGGGGUAGUACCCACUUAAAGGCAUCCAUAUGAUGAGUGCUGGGGCCAGAAGAGACUGGAACCAAUGAGUCAUAGGGUCUCAGGGUCUUCAGACAUCAUAUGGGGCUGCUACAGGGAUCUUUUCAGAGCAUCCCCUUCAACAGAUGUUCCUCAGCCUCCAUGCUAACUCUCAAUGAUGGGGCACCUGACACAGGCAUUCCACUGCUUGCCCCUGGUGAUUUCCCUCAUUCUCACCUCUAAGUAACAUCCAAAAUAAAACCAGCCCAGCCUUGGGCCAUGAUAUCCUAACCCACAGCAUGUGCACAUGUACCCACAUCUGCAUAUCUGCUCUACCUCCAGAUCAAAAUAGCAACCAGGGAGAUUGGCAGAGCCUGGAGUACCAGGCUGUCUUCCCAGUUUGGGACUGGCUGAGGCACUGUGACUUCAGUGAGAGUCUGGGCCCAUCCUCAGUCUAGAAAAAGCUUAUGCAAGGAUGAGGGUAGCCUAGAGAAAGUCCAGAAAACCACACAAAUGACCACCUGUUGAUUCCAAGGCGGAGACAGAGCACUUUCUCCUUUUAAAAACAGUAUCCUCUCCUCUCACUCAAGCUUAGCCUGCUCAACUGAACAGCCAGGAAAAGCUGCUGGUGUUUGGUGAUUUGAAGGGAAGGGGGUCUGAACCUCAGAAGCUUGUCACUUACUGGGGACCCUGAUGAGUUUCUCUCUGUUGUCCUGCCUUAUCCCUAAUCUAGCUCCCUGAUCAUUUGAAUGUAACCCUAAUUGGACAAGAAUUUUCUCCCUUUCAGUAUGGACAAAAUCAACAACCAUGAAUCAGAGACUUUUAGAGGAUGGGUAGUGAAGUGGGGGAAGAACAGAACAUUGUAGAGUGAGGGGCAGAGAGGCAGGCAGUGGGCAUGGGUAGGUUCUGGUUUUGUGAUUAGUAAUAUUAUCUCUUUAAUUGAAAAAAAUAAACUCAUUUCAGAUUCGUA